rnacentral:lncRNA from 1 species
CGGGUUAGGGACGCCCGGGGCUCAGCUUAGGGAGGCGGGCCUCACGCCACGAGGAGGCUGCCCUGAUACCCGGUGCAAGUGCUCCUUGGUGGGGCGGCCCGCGACUCCCUCCUUGGACCGUUCACUCCCUGAGGGGCCUGGGGGUCAGUCAGAAGACUAACGACCACCAGUCACCGAGAGCUCAGUUCGUGCCAAACCCUGCUCGCGCUGUCCCCGACUUAUUGUUCACAACGACCCUACAAGUCAUUCUCCUUCCCACUGGGAACCGAGGAUCAGAGGGAAGUCAUGGCCCGAGUGCCCCGGUCACACCUCCGUGAGCGGCCUCGGGCUCGCGGUUGAGGCUGAUUGAGGAAGUGGGUUCAGGCGGCCCGCCGUGCCUGGCACACGGUCAGAGUCCUGUAAGUGUUGGUUAUCUUCCCCAAGCGCACCGGGUGAACCUGCGCUGUCGUGGCGAAGCAUACUCAUUCAGCACGCGCGCGAGGGGCUGCGGGGGUACAGAGAGGUGCAGCGUGACACAGUCCCCACCCUCAGGAGCGCGAGGCGCAGGAAGUGACAGGACUUUCCCCUUUCUCUGAGAUGACAAUCAGGCCGCUUUGCUUCGCACUGCCCUCAGAGAAGCAGUGUGCCCAGAAGUCAAGUGUGAGCUCUUGAGUCAAAAUGCUUGGAUUUGAAUUCCAACUCUGCUGCUUACCAGCUGUGUGACAUGGGGUGAGUGAGUUACCUGACCUCUCUGUACCUCUAUGUCAUCAUCUUUAAAAUGGAGGUAAGGAUUACACCUAUCUCAGAGUUAUUUCAGUAAGUGACUUAUCUCUUUUAGUAGGCAGAAUUUAUGUGAGUCAUUUGUUUCCUCCAAAAUAUCUUGAAUUUAGUAGAUGCUCAAUCAAUAUUGCUGAAUGAAUGAAUGAAUGACAGACAACAUGGUGGGACUUGUUUAUCCUACAAAACUUGUUCUCAAGGCUUCAAAUAUGCAGGAAACGACUCACUGUCCCAGAAAUGCUGGGACUCUUGCCGCAAAGUAUAUGGGAGCUGCAAGCAUACCAGUUAUAGUUACAGGACUACUUAUGCACUCAUUUUCCUAG